AGAACGAACGCUGGCGGCAUGCCUAACACAUGCAAGUCGAACGCUCUUGGGGCUUCGGUCUCAGGGGAGUGGCGCACGGGUGAGUAGCGCGUGGGAACCUGCCCUGUUGUGGGGGAUAACCGAGGGAAACUUCGGCUAAUACCGCAUAAGCCGGUUGUCUUGAAGGAGAUGGCCGGGAAAGAUUUAUCGCGACAGGAGGGGCCCGCGUCGGAUUAGCUAGUUGGUGGGGUAACGGCCCACCAAGGCGGUGAUCCGUAGCUGGUCUGAGAGGAUGAUCAGCCACACUGGGACUGAGACACGGCCCAGACUCCUACGGGAGGCAGCAGUGGGGGAAUAUUGGACAAUGGGCGCAAGCCUGAUCCAGCAAUGCCGCGUGAGUGAUGAAGGCCUUAGGGUUGUAAAGCUCUUUCGCCCGCGACGAUGAUGACGGUAGCGGGAGAGAAGCCCCGGCUAACUUCGUGCCAGCAGCCGCGGUAA
rnacentral:rRNA from 1 species